GACAGAGGGUGCAAACGUUGUUCGGAAUUACUGGGCGUAAAGCGCGUGUAGGCGGCUCUGUAAGUCGGGGGUGAAAUCCCAGGGCUCAACCCUGGAACUGCCUUCGAUACUGGUGGUCUGGAGUCCGGGAGAGGUGAGUGGAACUCCUAGUGUAGAGGUGAAAUUCGUAGAUAUUAGGAAGAACACCAGUGGCGAAGGCGGCUCACGUGGCCCGGUACUGACGCUGAGGUACGAAAGCGUGGGGAGCAAACAGG
rnacentral:rRNA from 1 species